UGGGGAAUAUUGGGCAAUGGGCGCAAGCCUGACCCAGCAACGCCGCGUGAAGGAAGAAGGCUUUCGGGUUGUAAACUUCUUUUAUCAGGGACGAAACAAAUGACGGUACCUGAUGAAUAAGCCACGGCUAACUACGUGCCAGCAGCCGCGGUAAUACGUAGGUGGCAAGCGUUAUCCGGAUUUACUGGGUGUAAAGGGCGUGUAGGCGGGACUGCAAGUCAGAUGUGAAAACUAUGGGCUCAACCCAUAGCCUGCAUUUGAAACUGUGGUUCUUGAGUGUCGGGGAGGUAAUCGGAAUUCCUGGUGUAGCGGUGAAAUGCGUAGAUAUUAGGAGGAACACCAGUGGCGAAGGCGGAUUACUGGACGAUAACUGACGCUGAGGCGCGAAAGCGUGGGGAGCAAACA
rnacentral:rRNA from 1 species